rnacentral:pre_miRNA from 1 species
UUGAUAGGACUUGAUGUGGCGGUAAAGGAUACACCUGCAGCAACUUUGCGGCACUUCGGCAUACGACAGUAGUCUGCACAUUGGGUGUCUAGCUGCUACAUG